CCUACGGGGAGCAGCAGUGGGGAAUAUUGGGCAAUGGGCGAAAGUCUGAUCCAGCAACGCCGCGUGAGGGAAGAAGGAUUUCGGGUUGUAAACUUCUUUCGACAGGGAAGAGCAGAAGACGGUACCUGUCGAAUAAGCCACGGCUAACUACGUGCCAGCAGCCGCGGUAAUACGUAGGUGGCAAGCGUUGUCCGGAUUUACGGGGUGUAAAGGGCGUGUAGUCGGGCUGACAAGUCAGAUGUGAAAUCCGGGGGCUCAACCCCCGAACUGCAUUGGAAACUGUUGGGCUUGAGUAUAGGAGAGGCAAGUGGAAUUCCUAGUGUAGCGGUGAAAUGCGUAGAUAUUAGGAGGAACACCAGUGGCGAAGGCGGCCGGCUGGACGGCAACUGACGGUGAGGCGCGAAAGCGUGGGGAGCAAACAGGAUUAGAUACCCCUGUAGUC
rnacentral:rRNA from 1 species